rnacentral:rRNA from 1 species
AACGAACGCUGGCGGCAGGCCUAACACAUGCAAGUCGAACGCUCCGCAAGGGGAGUGGCGCACGGGUGAGUAACACGUGGGAACCUACCUUCUGGUACGGAACAACCAAGGGAAACUUUGGCUAAGACCGUAUACGACCUCCGGGUGAAAGAUUGAUCGCCGGAAGAGGGGCCCGCGUCCGAUUAGGUAGUUGGUGAGGUAACGGCUCACCAAGCCUUCGAUCGGUAGCUGGUCUGAGAGGAUGACCAGCCACACUGGGACUGAGACACGGCCCAGACUCCUACGGGAGGCAGCAGUGGGGAAUAUUGGACAAUGGGCGCAAGCCUGAUCCAGCCAUGCCGCGUGGGUGAUGAAGGCCUUCGGUUGUAAG